ensembl:snRNA U2 U2 spliceosomal RNA
GUUACAUGGCAGCCUUUUGGCUAAGAUCAGGUGUAGUAUCUUUUCUUCCAGUUUAAUAUUUGAUGUAUUUUCUAUCCGAGGACAGUGUAUAGAUUUUGGGGGCUGGGAGAUGGGGCUUACUGUGUCACUCUGGGCAUUGACCUUGUAUUGUGGUACCUCCCAGAAUGGUGCAUCCUCU